rnacentral:rRNA from 1 species
AGAGUUUGAUCAUGGCUCAGGAUGAACGCUGGCGGCGUGCUUAACACAUGCAAGUCGAGCGAAGCACUCUGCUUUGAUUCUUUCGGGAUGAAGAGCAUUGUGACUGAGCGGCGGACGGGUGAGUAACGCGUGGGUAACCUGCCUCAUACAGGGGGAUAACAGUUAGAAAUGGCUGCUAAUACCGCAUAAGACCACAGCACCGCAUGGUGCAGGGGUAAAAACUCCGGUGGUAUGAGAUGGACCCGCGUCUGAUUAGCUAGUUGGUGGGGUAACGGCCUACCAAGGCGACGAUCAGUAGCCGACCUGAGAGGGUGACCGGCCACAUUGGGACUGAGACACGGCCCAAACUCCUACGGGAGGCAGCAGUAGGGAAUCUUCCACAAUGGACGAAAGUCUGAUGGAGCAACGCCGCGUGAAUGAAGAAGGCCUUCGGGUCGUAAAAUUCUGUUGUCAGAGAAGAAUGUGCGUGAGAGUAACUGUUCACGUAUUGACGGUAUCUGACCAGAAAGCCACGGCUAACUACGUGCCAGCAGCCGCGGUAAUACGUAGGUGGCAAGCGUUGUCCGGAUUUAUUGGGCGUAAAGGGAACGCAGGCGGUCUUUUAAGUCUGAUGUGAAAGCCUUCGGCUUAACCGAAGUAGUGCAUUGGAAACUGGAAGACUUGAGUGCAGAAGAGGAGAGUGGAACUCCAUGUGUAGCGGUGAAAUGCGUAGAUAUAUGGAAGAACACCAGUGGCGAAAGCGGCUCUCUGGUCUGUAACUGACGCUGAGGUUCGAAAGCGUGGGUAGCAAACAGGAUUAGAUACCCUGGUAGUCCACGCCGUAAACGAUGAGUGCUAAGUGUUGGAGGGUUUCCGCCCUUCAGUGCUGCAGCUAACGCAUUAAGCACUCCGCCUGGGGAGUACGGUCGCAAGACUGAAACUCAAAGGAAUUGACGGGGGCCCGCACAAGCGGUGGAGCAUGUGGUUUAAUUCGAAGCAACGCGAAGAACCUUACCAGGUCUUGACAUCUUCUGACAAUUCCAGAGAUGGAACGUUCCCUUCGGGGACAGAAUGACAGGUGGUGCAUGGUUGUCGUCAGCUCGUGUCGUGAGAUGUUGGGUUAAGUCCCGCAACGAGCGCAACCCUUAUUGUCAGUUGCCAUCAUUAAGUUGGGCACUCUGGCGAGACUGCCGGUGACAAACCGGAGGAAGGUGGGGAUGACGUCAAAUCAUCAUGCCCCUUAUGACCUGGGCUACACACGUGCUACAAUGGACGGUACAACGAGUCGCUAACUCGCGAGGGCAAGCUAAUCUCUUAAAGCCGUUCUCAGUUCGGAUUGCAGGCUGCAACUCGCCUGCAUGAAGUCGGAAUCGCUAGUAAUCGCGAAUCAGCAUGUCGCGGUGAAUACGUUCCCGGGCCUUGUACACACCGCCCGUCACACCAUGAGAGUUUGUAACACCCAAAGUCGGUGGGGUAACCUUUUGGAGCCAGCCGCCUAAGGUGGGACAGAUGAUUGGGGUGAAGUCGUAACAAGGUA